rnacentral:tRNA from 5 species
GGACCCGUAGCUCAGUUGGUUAGAGCGCCCGGCUCAUAACCGGGUGGUCAUCGGUUCAAAUCCGGUCGGGUCCACCA